rnacentral:rRNA from 1 species
UACGUAGGAGGCAAGCGUUGUCCGGAAUUACUGGGCGUAAAGCGCGUGUAGGUGGUGGGACAAGUCUGCUGUGAAAGCGCCUGGCUUAACCGGGCGAGGUCGGCGGAAACUGUCCGACUCGAGGACGGUAGAGGGGGGUGGAAUUCCCGGUGUAGUGGUGAAAUGCGUAGAGAUCGGGAGGAACACCUGUGGCGAAGGCGGCCCCCUGGGCCGGCCCGCUGAACACUGAGACGCGAAGGCGUGGGGAGCGAACAGG